rnacentral:lncRNA from 1 species
GCGGAGACCAGAGCCCGGCUCCACUGAAGAAACCCGCCGGCUGCUGGGGCAGGGCGGCGAAAGGUCAGUCGGCCGAGAGGAGUCCGUGGAGCCACCGUUUCAUAGCCUCAGGGAAAGGAUCGGGCGUGCUCACGAGCCCUCUAACCCAUGGCUUAAACACCCGCUUCCUAAGCCUGGUUCCUGAAUAUAUCACAUGUGGUGAUAAACAUGAAGAUGUAUGAAAAAUUGUGUUCGUUGAGAGAAAAUGGAAGGCUUUUCAUUCUACUUCCACAUUUUCAUUCCAGCAGCUUUUCUGUUUUGGAAGAUGAGUACUGAAUCUUGCAAUGAAAUUUUUUUAACUUAAACAAGGUUCUUAUGCCUUUGUUUGAAAAACAUGGUUCCCUGUGAAAUUUUACAUGUAGAAGAAAGCUUCACACUACGAGAGCUCUCAGGAUAUAAUUAUUUCAGACAGAUACUGGGAACAUAAGAUGGCUUAUCAAUCUAAGAUGGCCUUCCUGUCCUUCGGAUUGAACUGAAACCAUCCCUGAUUCCAGGGAUAGGUAGAUGAUCCAGGUUUGGACAAUCAAAAUAUUGAACCACCCUGGACCUACAAGUGUUUCUGGGAUGGGAACAUGCAAACGUUGGUCCAAAUUGUUGUUCUAGGCAGCCCAGUACAUUUCUCCAAUGCCUGAUGGAAUGAUAGGGUAUGCAUAAAUGUUCAUGUGGGCUCUGGAGUAUACCAGGAACUGAAGUAAGGUACAUGGACGUCUUGAAUAUUGUAACUGAGAUGGGCAAGCCUACACCUUUGCAAAUAAAGGAGGAUUGGGAAAGAUUAAGCCUCUCAAGCACUGUGAAAAAUCACUUUCUCUUGUUGUAUUCUUGGAGCCCCUGCUAAUUCAUUAUUGAAAAAUACCUGCUGCCUGCAUUUGGCCUUAUGUUGUCAUUUACUUGGUACUUCCUAAGCGUGGCUACUCCAAUGAAGCUUUAGUAUAUGUACUGAAAGAAGAUCCUCUCAUACUGCCACAGCCAAGAGAUAAGGUUGUAAAUCUUUAUUGGGAGAAGCCGUCAAGGACAGUUCUGUGAAAUGAAAGGAUCUCUGGAUCACCACAAAGUCUGGCUCAGUGACUAUGGCUUUGCAAACACUAAACAUUCCUGUCUCAAGUCCUGUAGAUGGCUUGAAAUAGUAUACAUAAGCAUGCCUUAUAAACAUCUUCAGUCUUUAUCAACUCUUUGGAGAUUCAGCCAUUCUUUUUUGUACUUUAGGGAAUUAAAUCAUUUUAUAAUGUAUA